GCUCAACUUCCUUUCACAAAACCCUUCAGCCAUUCACACUCUCAAUCUUUCAUCCCUCCAAUUUCUCACAAAAUCCUCUCUCUCGUCGGACUUCCAUCGACACAGAAAGUAAUCGAAGCAACUCUCCAACUUCUGAAGCCCAAACCAUUUGCUGGAGCUAAUGUGUUCGUCUCUCGUAAUCUUGUCGCUUCGGAGAUGUUCGAUCCUUUUCACGACGCUCUCAAGCAGAAUGGGGCUGAGGUUUUCCUCUGUUGCGAUCCCUCUCAAAACGCCCCUAACGACUAUCAUGUUAUCUCCUCCGCCGAUCACGCAAAGUUCGAGGAUCUUCGCGCCAAGGGAUGCAACUUGUUAGGUCCUCAGUGCGUGAUGUCAUGUGCAAAAAGAGCACAGACCUCUUCCUCAACAGGGUUAUACUUGCUGCCUUGCCAUGGAUGGUGUGAAAAUCUUGGCAUCCGGUUUUCAGGAAGAUGAAAAGGUUGAGAUAGGGAAGUUAGUUAGUGCAAUGGGGGGAGUAUUGCAUACGAAAGCAUCACUAGAUGUCAGUUUUGUUAUCGUGAAGAAUGCUUUGGCUGCGAAAUACAAGUGGGCACUAAACAUUUCAAAGAAACCAAUCGUGUCAUUUUCUUGGUUACAACAAUGCUGGAUUGAACAUCGUGUUGUGCCUCAGGAGGGAUAUCGGGUCCUUCCAUUUUCUGGAUUGAAUAUUUCGGUAUCUGGAAUUCCUGCAGGUGAGCUCAAGGAGAUGGCAAAGCUUAUCUUGCAAAAUGGUGGAAGAUAUUCUGCCGAUCUCACAAGAAAGUGUACACAUUUGAUAUGUGAUGCUCCUGAAGGUGACAAGUACAAGGUUGCACGAACGUGGGGCCGUAUCAAUAUUGUUACUUGGAAAUGGUUUGAUCAGUCCAUAGCCAGAAAAGGAUGUCUUAAUGAGGAUUUGUACCGUGUUGGUAGCGUUUCUGGAACUUAAAAUAAAUUGACAAGGGUUUGCUUGACUGCUCACAAUGGCCAAGAAAAGGUUAUUGUGAACUCAGCUGUACCGUCCUCAUUUCUUGCCGAUUCAAAAUUCACAGCAGUUGCUGGUCCUUGGUUUUCAGACAUGGAUGUUGAAGUUACUCUUUCACAGAGCACGCCUAUGUUUUCAGAUGCUUCUCAUUUUAUAAAUGAGGUUGAUGUUGAAGUGCCAGUCGCGAUGGGAAGGAAUGAAGAAAACACUGUUAAUUACCUUGCAAAUGACUUUCCGUCUGAAGAAAACGACCUAUAUUUGUCAGCAUGUAGAAUAAAAGUUGUUGGGUUUGAAGCUUCUGAGAUGCAGAAGAUUGUAAAUAUGAUUCUCAGAGGUGGAGGCUUCCGAUACAUGUUGUUCAAUGACAAAUUAACACACAUAAUAGCAACUGGCUUGAAGAUUGUGAUCGUCAGAAGAAGGAGAUCCCUAUUCUUGGUAGACACAUGGCAGAUGAUGAACUUAUUCCUAAAGCAUCUAGUAAAAUGAGCACCAUUGUUAUGGAUCGGAAUAAAGUUCCAAAUGUUCAUCCAAUCGUGCCAUCAAAUGUGUCAGAAGGAAAUAUUCAUCAAAUGGUACAAACAAGAGUCAAGAAAAGAUGGGGCGUGAUUUCAUGGUUUUGUUUUUCUAGUUCCUUUCGAGAAGAUCGGAGAGCUGAAAUUGUUGAAUGGAUAAAUCAAGGGGGAGGCGAGGUUGUUGAAGAUCACAUGAAGCAGAAAGUGCACUUCACUGUUGAAUGUCAUGGUGGGAUACCAAGGAGUACAGACGUUCAUAGUACUUACGUGUCAAGUCAUUGGGUUCAAUCAUGUUUAGAGGAUGGAUGUUUGUGGGAUACCAAUGGGCACAUUCUCUAUUCUCCUCUUCCUUGUUGUGUCCCUUUGCCUGGAUUUGAAAACAUACGGUUUUGUGUUUCACAAUAUGAUGAUAAAGACAGAGUAUUGUUAAGAAAUUUGUGUUUUGUACUUGGGGCCAAGUUUGUGGAGAAGCUGACAAAGAAGGUAACCCAUCUAAUAUGCAAGUUCACGGAUGGGACAAAGUAUGAGGCUGCUUGUAAAUGGGGGAAACAAUGCAUUACAGCUGAAUGGAUAUAUGAGUGUGUCAGACAAAGAAAGAUUGUUUCUCUUGAUUUGUAUCGCCCAAAAGAAGUUACAGCUCAAGACAGAGUGACAUGCUUGUGCACUGUCAGCCAAUUUCCUACUCAAGCUGCCCCAAUGAUAGCCAAUGAAAGCGUAUCCCAGUUUCCUAUCCAUUCUGCCAUUCUGAGAGACCAAUCAGCUGGAACUAACAGUAGCUCUAUAGGAGCAGCUGAACGAAUAAGUUCUACUAAAAGAAGGCGCAAGUUAUUUGACGAAGCCAUACAAAAGCGUUCAGUUUUUGUUGGAAACAGUUCCACUCAAUCUGACUGCAAUUUGAAUUCCACAAAACAAACUACAUCAAAAUCUUCUGUAGUAACUUCACACGUUCCUGAUGUCGCUUCCGCAAUCGAGGACUUGUUGGAGCAGACAACUAAGAUUCAAGAUCAGAAGUCACCUGGAAAGACUGGCUGCGACAAAAGUGUAUCCUUCUAUUAGGUUUAAACUAACUAGUGGACAUGGCCAUUCUUAGCUCUUACAUCCAAAGCAGUUAGUCGUACGAGGACAAUUUCUUUUUCUUUGUCUGUUUUACUGAGUCAAAAGCAGCCUUUAGGUUUCAUUAUUACAUUCUGGUGGAGCGAGAGAAAGAACAGAAUCGUCAAAGGGUGUGAGAGUCCUUAUUGCGAUGUUUGAUCCCUUACUGAAUUCUUUGUUUCUUCUGGGACAUUUGUUUUGUUAUUAUUUGCUAGACCUUAUCUCUUUAUUGGAGCCUUUUUUGCACUUUGGUUCUU